rnacentral:precursor_RNA from 14 species
GGUCACGUGACAUGUCUCACUUCAAUGUGUUGCGUAGGCGUUGUGCACAGUGAUGUGUGGCCCGGUUCCUGUGCAUCUCUCCCACGCAUAUCGUUGGAGUGAAUUUUCAUCGGGGAAGAA